rnacentral:lncRNA from 1 species
AACAUUCUUUCUCAUAAUAGUAGUGGUUAAACUGCGUUGACUGUCAUAAAAUGAAAACACAAUUCUUCUUCUUCUUCUUCUUCUUCUUCUUGUGGCCUCACCUACCCUCUCCUCUUCUCUCUUCGUUGUCCUGUCUAUCUCUCCACCGCCGGCUCUCUACUCUUCCGGUCAUCUCGUUAGUUCUCGUUCCUUCUUUUAAAACCUUCGAUGGACUUUUUUCCUAUGCCAUUUUCGUAAAUUCAUUAGAUUUUCAGGCAAACUAGACAUCCGGUUGCCAAGCUUGAAUUUUUAUCUUAGUUUCUCUCACUAUAACUUUUCUCUUUCUCUCUCUAGAAAAUAA